rnacentral:rRNA from 1 species
UGGGGAAUAUUGCACAAUGGGCGCAAGCCUGAUGCAGCCAUGCCGCGUGUAUGAAGAAGGCCUUCGGGUUGUAAAGUACUUUCAGCGGGGAGGAAGGGAGUAAAGUUAAUACCUUUGCUCAUUGACGUUACCCGCAGAAGAAGCACCGGCUAACUCCGUGCCAGCAGCCGCGGUAAUACGGAGGGUGCAAGCGUUAAUCGGAAUUACUGGGCGUAAAGCGCACGCAGGCGGUUUGUUAAGUCUGAUGUGAAAGCCCCCGGCUCAACCGGGGAGGGUCAUUGGAAACUGGGAGACUUGAGUGCAGAAGAGGAGAGUGGAAUUCCAUGUGUAGCGGUGAAAUGCGUAGAGAUCUGGAGGAAUACCGGUGGCGAAGGCGGCCCCCUGGACGAAGACUGACGCUCAGGUGCGAAAGCGUGGGGAGCAAACAGG